GAUGAACGCUGGCGGCGUGCCUAAUACAUGCAAGUCGAGCGAACAGACGAGGAGCUUGCUCCUCUGACGUUAGCGGCGGACGGGUGAGUAACACGUGGAUAACCUACCUAUAAGACUGGGAUAACUUCGGGAAACCGGAGCUAAUACCGGAUAAUAUAUUGAACCGCAUGGUUCAAUAGUGAAAGACGGUUUUGCUGUCACUUAUAGAUGGAUCCGCGCCGCAUUAGCUAGUUGGUAAGGUAACGGCUUACCAAGGCAACGAUGCGUAGCCGACCUGAGCGGGUGAUCGGCCAGACUGGGAGUGAGACACGGUCCAGACUCCUACGGGAGGCAGCAGUAGGGAAUCUUACGCAAUGGGCGAAAGCCUGACGGAGCAACGCCGCGUGAGUGAUGAAGGUCUUCGGAUCGUAAAACUCUGUUAUUAGGGAAGAACAAAUGUGUAAGUAACUAUGCACGUCUUGACGGUACCUAAUCAGAAAGCUACGGCUAACUACGUG
rnacentral:rRNA from 1 species